CCUCAGAGUACAAAAGUGGCAGACAAAACUGAUACCACAGCACAAUUUCAGAACUAUUCACAACUACCAAAAACAAAAACAAAAAACCGCACCCAUUCUUAUGUAAACUUUUGCAGUAAACUUCCUGAGCCUCACCUUCGCUUACACCUACCCUCUUCUAAGGUACCAAUUGUCAAAAACUCCUAAGAGAAAACGUCCCAUAGGGGAAAAAACGACUGAAAUGUUAUUAUAUUUAAGCAUUUAAACAGGGUUCUUCCUCAGGCUACAGCCAUUUUAGAUUCAGUAUCUUUUGAAUUUUAUGGGUUGGGAAGAUUUAGCAUGGAAUAAAAACGACUAGUUAAGCCACUUCAACUAAUCAAACUUCCACUCCAAUGGGACGGAGUUUGGUAGACAACCAGUAAGACAAUCUGAAGUUGAAAAGGUCUCCCUACCCCAGAGAACCGCGACUCCGGGCGUGGAAGUUCCCUUUCGCCCAGAUAGUCCACAUUUGACUUACACGACUUUUUCCUCGUUAAGUUUCUCUUAACUGGAAAACAGAAGCCUUCGGCUCUUAUUUUAAAGAAAGGUAAAAUAAUAAUAGUAAUAAUAAUAAUGAUAAUAAAACCCAAGUAAACCAAAUCACUCAACCACUAUCAAGCCGGAACUCCUGGAGAGGAGCCGGAGCCGGAGCCGCAGGUGAGCGUUUCCGACCGGGAACUGAAGUUGAAGUCGGAGAGCUCUGGAACCGCCGCGGCGACGCUAGUGUGCAAGACUCCUCCCGGGGGGGGGGGGGGGGGAGGGGGACGUUCCAACUCGGCGACUCCCAGGUCCCUCGUCCACCCCGGCGGACCCACACCCAACCACCUGUGCAAGACCUUCUUCCAACUAGUUUUCCUAGACGGCCAGUUAGGUGCCGGCGGAGCCCGUGCCGGGACCACUCCAGGUCUCCUUCUGCUCGGUGUCCAGGACCCAUACUCACCCGGCAGCGGCGGGGCUACGGUCAAGGACGACUCGCGGCGUCUGAGGACGCGUCCUCAGCUUCUCCGACCAGCAGAGGCGUGCGCCGUGGAAACUACAGUCCUAGGCAAGCCAUAGACACACACAUACUCCCGCCCCUCCGGACUAGAGGCAUGCGCGGCGGUGUGGGCGCACUACCUGCCGGGAGUUGUAGUUCAUGGGCAUUGCAGGCGUCACGGAGCCGCCAGAAUGGAGGGUUGAAAUCUGCUCCAGCCCAGUCUUUGCUAAUAAACCCCCAAAGGAGUCUAUAA
rnacentral:lncRNA from 1 species